UUGUUCUUAAUCCUAGAGAUAUAUGUCUUCUUUGUCCUUCAAAACAUCUCUUAUUUCUUUCCGGCCAAAAAGUCCAAAAGAUGCAUAACGGAAUAGUUCUCCAAAAUUGCUGCUGUCUUUUAGCUAUUCUUUGGCUCUGCCAGCUCACCAACAAACUCCGAACACUGUGAGGCAUUACCCAGGACACUCCACAAAUAUUCAGGAUUAGAUCUCAGCACUGCCUUGAGACUUCACAAUCAGAAAUAAAGACAUCAAGCAUUGGUUGCAGUCACAGGACAAGAGCCUUAUCUUGUUGCAAUCGGGCUUGUAGGAGGAUAUUCUCUGGAGUACCGGAAGAGGUUGCGACUGCAGUCUAAGCAGUAUCUACCUCUAGUUUAAAGAAUAUUUGUCCAAUCUUGUGGUGGCUCUAAUGUAUGUCAAAGUUUGCUAUCAUCCCCCGGAAAUAGCGGACAAAGAAUCUGCUAUUUCAUAUAUGUUUAAGUGGAGAAGUAAAUAUGUUUAAUAAUAGGAUUUUAUAUCUGAUAUUGCCUUUCAUAGUUCUCAAAGAGUGUAUGUGUAGAACAAGCACAGCUGCACAAUUGUUAUUUAAAUG